UCUCCGUUGGUGAACCAGCGGAGGGAUCAUUACAGGACUCGCAAGACUCCCGUAAACCACUGUGAACCUACUACUGUUGCCUCGGCGGGUGCUCGAGCUCAGCGCUCAGCCCGCCGACGGCCCACAACUCAUUGUCUGACUCUAAGCAUCUCCGAGCCAUACACAAACGAAUCAAAACUUUCAACAACGGAUCUCUUGGUUCUGGCAUCGAUGAAGAACGCAGC
rnacentral:misc_RNA from 1 species